rnacentral:rRNA from 1 species
AUGAACGCUAGCUACAGGCUUAACACAUGCAAGUCGAGGGGAAACGAUAUUGGAAGCUUGCUUCCGAUAGGCGUCGACCGGCGCACGGGUGAGUAACGCGUAUCCAACCUGCCCACCACUUGGGGAUAACCUUGCGAAAGUAAGACUAAUACCCAAUGAUAUCUCUAGAAGACAUCUGAAAGAGAUUAAAGAUUUAUCGGUGAUGGAUGGGGAUGCGUCUGAUUAGCUUGUUGGCGGGGUAACGGCCCACCAAGGCAACGAUCAGUAGGGGUUCUGAGAGGAAGGUCCCCCACAUUGGAACUGAGACACGGUCCAAACUCCUACGGGAGGCAGCAGUGAGGAAUAUUGGUCAAUGGACGAGAGUCUGAACCAGCCAAGUAGCGUGCAGGAAGACGGCCCUAUGGGUUGUAAACUGCUUUUAUAAGGGAAUAAAGUGAGAGUCGUGACUCUUUUUGCAUGUACCUUAUGAAUAAGGACCGGCUAAUUCCGUGCCAGCAGCCGCGGUAAUACGGAAGGUCCGGGCGUUAUCCGGAUUUAUUGGGUUUAAAGGGAGCGUAGGCCGGAGAUUAAGCGUGUUGUGAAAUGUAGACGCUCAACGUCUGCACUGCAGCGCGAACUGGUUUCCUUGAGUACGCACAAAGUGGGCGGAAUUCGUGGUGUAGCGGUGAAAUGCUUAGAUAUCACGAAGAACUCCGAUUGCGAAGGCAGCUCACUGGAGCGCAACUGACGCUGAAGCUCGAAAGUGCGGGUAUCGAACAGGAUUAGAUACCCUGGUAGUCCGCACGGUAAACGAUGGAUGCCCGCUGUUGGUCUGAAUAGGUCAGCGGCCAAGCGAAAGCAUUAAGCAUCCCACCUGGGGAGUACGCCGGCAACGGUGAAACUCAAAGGAAUUGACGGGGGCCCGCACAAGCGGUGGAGCAUGUGGUUUAAUUCGAAGCAACGCGAAGAACCUUACCAGGUCUUGACAUCGAUCUAAAAGGGAUGGAGACAUCCUCAUAGCUAUAGAGAAGACAGGUGGUGCAUGGUUGUCGUCAGCUCGUGUCGUGAGAUGUUGGGUUAAGUCCCGCAACGAGCGCAACCCUUAUCUUUAGUUACUAACAGGUCAUGCUGAGGACUCUAGAGAGACUGCCGUCGUAAGAUGUGAGGAAGGUGGGGAUGACGUCAAAUCAGCACGGCCCUUACGUCCGGGGCUACACACGUGUUACAAUGGCAGGUACAGAGAGACGGUCCCUUGCAAAACGGAUCAAAUCCUUAAAGCCUGUCUCAGUUCGGACUGGGGUCUGCAACCCGACCCCACGAAGCUGGAUUCGCUAGUAAUCGCGCAUCAGCCAUGGCGCGGUGAAUACGUUCCCGGGCCUUGUACACACCGCCCGUCAAGCCAUGAAAGCCGGGGGCGCCUAAAGUCCGUGACCGUAAGGAGCGGCCUAGGGCGAAACUGGUAAUUGGGGCU